ACUAUCCGCCUGGGAACUACGAGCAACAGCUUAAAACCCAAAGGACUUGGCGGUGCUUUAGACCCACCUAGAGGAGCCUGUUCUGAAACCGAUAACCCCCGUUCAACCUCACCUUUCCUUGUUCCCCCCGCCUAUAUACCGCCGUCGUCAGCUUACCCUAUGAAGGCCCCUUAGUAAGCACAAUUGGUACAACCCAAAACGUCAGGUCGAGGUGUAGCGUAUGGAAAGGGAAGAAAUGGGCUACAUUCCUUAACCCUAAGGAAUUACGAAAAAUACCACUGAAACGUGUAUCUAGAAGGAGGAUUUAGCAGUAAGCAGAAAAUAGAGCGUUCUGCUG
rnacentral:rRNA from 1 species